rnacentral:rRNA from 1 species
GAUGAACGCUGGCGGCGUGCCUAAUACAUGCAAGUCGAGCGAACGGACGAGAAGCUUGUUUCUCUGAUGUUAGCGGCGGACGGGUGAGUAACACGUGGAUAACCUACCUAUAAGCCUGGGAUAACUUCGGGAAACCGUAGCUAAUACCGCAUAAUAUUUUGAACCGCAUGGUUCAAAAGUGAAAGACGGUAUUGCUGUCACUUAUAGAUGGAUCCGCGCUGCAUUAGCUAGUUGGUAAGGUAACGGCUUACCAAGGCAACGAUGCAUAGCCGACCGGAGAGGUUGAUGGCCCACACUGGAACUGAGACACGGUCCAGCCUCCUACGGGAGGCAGCAGUAGGGAAGCUUCCGCAAUGAGCGAAGGCCGGACGGAGCAACGCCGCGUGAGGGAGGAAGGUCUCCGGAUCGUAAAACUCUGUUAUUGGGGAAGAACAUAUGUGGAAGUAACUGUGCACAACUUGACGGUACCUAAUCAGAAAGCCACGGCUAACUACGUG